rnacentral:rRNA from 1 species
AAUAAAUUUAAUUUAUAUUUAGAAUUAAUUUAAAAGAUUAUAAUAGUAUGAAAAGUUUAAUUUAUUAAAGUAUUAAAUUAAUAAGAUUAUUUAAUAAUUAAAAUUAAUAAAUAAAAGAAAUUUUAUUUUGUAAAUUUUUUUAAUUUAUAAAUUUAAAAAGUGCCAGCAAUAGCGGUUAAACUUUUUAUAUAAAAUUAAUUAUAAAAAUUGUUAAUUAAAUUAUUAAAUUAAUUAAUUUAUUAAGUAUUAAAAUUAUGAUAAAAUAUUAAAUUUAAUAAUUUAUAAAUUAAUUUUUUUAUUAAUUGAAAUUUAAUAAAAUUGAUUAAAUAAACUAGGAUUAGAUACCCUAUUAUAAGAUAGUAAAUAAAUUAUAUUUAUAAAUUAAAAUUAUAUUUAAAUAUAUAAAUUUGGCGGUGUUUUAUUUUGUUCAGGGGAAUUUGUAAAUUAAUUGAUAUUCCACGAUAAGAAGUAUAUUUAAUUAAAUAUUUUUAUGUAUAUUCGUUUUAAAAUUUUUUUAAAUGAAUAAUUAUUUAAAUAUUUUUUAAAUAAUAAUUCAGAUAAAUAUGUAAUUUUAAAUAAAUUUAUGAAUUACAAUAAAAUUUUUUAUAUUUAAUUUAUUUUAAAAUAAAUUAAUAUUAGGAUUUGAAAGUAAAAUUAAUUAAUUAAUUAAUUUGAUUAUAAUUUUAAAAUAUGUACAAAUUGCCCGUCAAUUUUAUUUAAUUAUUUAUAUAAAUAAUUGAAUUAAAUAAGUCGUAACAAAGUAAAAUUACUGGAAAGUGUUUUUAGAAGUUU